rnacentral:lncRNA from 1 species
AUAACGAUAACAGCUGUUUGAUUCCACUUGCCAGCUAUGAGAUCGAAGAACUCUGGAAUCACUUGGGUACUACAGGCAUAAAUGAGGGCAAAAUUUAAACUUUUAUUUUCUGUAAUGUGAUAAUUACAUAUUGAGGGGAAAAUGGUGCAGACUUUGCAAUAAAUUAUUGCUCAACAUAAUCUCCUAUUUCUAAUGAUUUAGUUUAUAUUAUUUUCUGUAUUUGCACUUAUUCUCUAUUGGUUAUUUCCUAGGUGUAUCUCAAGAAGGACAGAAAAUUAAGCAAAAGAAUAGCGUACACUCUGGAUUUUCUUCCUCUAUACAGACUACAGUGACUGAAGUGUUGAAUCCACUCGUAGAACCAGCUUACUGUCCUCAGAAGUCAAAAUCCCAAGUAUCAAGUGCACUUUAUAUGCCCUGAAGACCUAUCCUCAGAAAAGUAAUAGUAGAUAUUAAAUCUUCACUGGUAGAAAGACUGUGCCGGUGAUAAUAGGACCACAGAACUCACUGGUAAUCGUUUUCCCUGUCAUGGGCAGCUAUUGAUAAAACUGAUACUGUCUGACUGAUCAUUGGUUUGUUCAGCUAGCUAAUGCUUGUACUGUUAAAGAGUUGAAAACAAUGUUUGUGUAAAAGAUCUUGAAAUGCUCACUAGCAUGGAGGGACCAGGACGUUUUUUCUAUACAAGUUCUUUUUAUAAAUAUUGUUUGUGGCUAUUUGGCACAUGAUUUGGCAUGUGAUACCUUUAAUUAGU